AGCAUAUCAAUAAGCGGAGGAAAAGAAACCAACAGGGAUUGCCUCAGUAACGGCGAGUGAAGCGGCAACAGCUCAAAUUUGAAAUCUGGCCCCAGGCCCGAGUUGUAAUUUGCAGAGGAUGCUUUUGGUGAGGUGCCUUCCGAGUUCCCUGGAACGGGACGCCAUAGAGGGUGAGAGCCCCGUCUGGUCGGACACCGAGCCUCUGUAAAGCUCCUUCGACGAGUCGAGUAGUUUGGGAAUGCUGCUCUAAAUGGGAGGUAUAUGUCUUCUAAAGCUAAAUACCGGCCAGAGACCGAUAGCGCACAAGUAGAGUGAUCGAAAGAUGAAAAGCACUUUGAAAAGAGAGUUAAAUAGCACGUGAAAUUGUUGAAAGGGAAGCGUUUAUGACCAGACUUGGCCCGGUUGAUCAUCCAGCGUUCUCGCUGGUGCACUCUGCCGGUCCAGGCCAGCAUCAGUUCGUCGCGGGGGACAAAGGCUUCGGGAAUGUGGCUCCUCCGGGAGUGUUAUAGCCCGUUGCGUAAUACCCUGCGGUGGACUGAGGUCCGCGCUUCUGCAAGGAUGCUGGCGUAAUGGUCAUCAACGACCCGUCUUGAAACACGGACCAAGGAGUCGUCUUCGUAUGCGAGUGUUCGGGUGUAAAACCCCUACGCGUAAUGAAAGUGAACGCAGGUGAGAGCUUCGGCGCAUCAUCGACCGAUCCUGAUGUUCUCGGAUGGAUUUGAGUAAGAGCAUACGGGGCCGGACCCGAAAGAAGGUGAACUAUGCCUGUAUAGGGUGAAGCCAGAGGAAACUCUGGUGGAGGCUCGCAGCGGCUCUGACGUGCAAAUCGAUCGUCAAAUAUGGGCAUGGGGCGAAAGACUAAUC
rnacentral:rRNA from 1 species